rnacentral:rRNA from 1 species
AACGAACGCUGGCGGCAGGCUUAACACAUGCAAGUCGAACGCACCGCAAGGUGAGUGGCAGACGGGUGAGUAACACGUGGGGAUCUGCCCAAUGGUACGGAAUAGCUCCGGGAAACUGGAAUUAAUACCGUAUGAGCCCGCAAGGGGAAAGAUUUAUCGCCAUUGGAUGAACCCGCGUCGGAUUAGCUAGUAGGUGUGGUAAAGGCGCACCAAGGCGACGAUCCGUAGCUGGUCUGAGAGGAUGAUCAGCCACACUGGGACUGAGACACGGCCCAGACUCCUACGGGAGGCAGCAGUGGGGAAUAUUGGACAAUGGGCGCAAGCCUGAUCCAGCCAUGCCGCGUGAGUGAUGAAGGCCUUAGGGUUGUAAAGCUCUUUCGCCGACGAAGAUAAUGACGGUAGUCGGAGAAGAAGCCCCGGCUAACUCUGUGCCAGCCGCCGCGGUAACAC